rnacentral:rRNA from 1 species
GUAUAAGCAAUUAUACCGCGAAACUGCGAAUGGCUCAUUAUAUCAGUUAUCGUUUAUUUGAUAGUUCCCUACUACUUGGAUAACCGUGGUAAUUCUAGAGCUAAUACAUGCGAAAAACCGCGACUUCGGAAGCGGUGUAUUUAUUAGAUUAAAGACCAAUGCCCUUCGGGGCUGACUGGUGAUUCAUGAUAACUUCUCGAAUCUCACGGCCUUGCGCCGGCGAUGGUUCAUUCAAAUUUCUGCCCUAUCAACUUUCGACUUUAGCGUAGUGGGCUAAAGUGGUUACAACGGGUAACGGAGGGUUAGGGCUCGACCCCGGAGAAGGAGCCUGAGAGACGGCUACUACAUCCUAGGAAGGCAGCAGGCGCGCUGAUUACCCAAUCGCGACACGGGGAGGUAGUGACAAUAAAUACUGAUACAGGGCUCUUUUGGGUCUUGUAAUUGGAAUGAGUACAAUUUAAAUCCCUUAUCGAGGAACAAUUGGAGGGCAAGUCUGGUGCCAGCAGCCGCGGUAAUUCCAGCUCCAAUAGCGUAUAUUAAAGUUGUUGUGGUUAAAAAGCUCGUAGUUGAACCUGGGCCUCGCGCAGACCGGUCCGCCUCACCGCGUGCACUGGUCCUGCCGGGGCUUUCACUAGGGGAUUCGCAUGCCCUUCACUGGGCGUGCGCGGAACCUGGACCUUUACUGUGAAAAAAUUAGAGUGUUCAAAGCAGGCCUAUGCUCGAAUACAUUAGCAUGGAAUAAUAGAAUAGGACGUGUGGUUCUAUUUUGUUGGUUAUGGGACCGCCGUACUGAUUAGUAGGGACAGUCGGGCGCAUCAGUAUUCAAUUGCCAGAGGUGAAAUUCUUGGAUCUACUGAGGACUAACUACUGCGAACGCAUUUGCCAAGGAUGUUUUCAUUAAUCAGGAACAACAGUUAG